AGAACCAAUCAAUCAAGCCCCUGGCAGGUGGGUGAGGUGGGUCAAGUGAGCAGAAACCAGUCUGGGUAGGGAUGCACGGGUCCAGGUGGGGGUUUGGAGAUGGAGAGCCAACACUGAUUGGAUUCUAGAGGAAGGAAAGCUGAAGAAGGCAAAAUGGUGUAACAUGUUUGAAUCUUAAGUUUUGGAGGACUCCUACUCACACAACAAGCAUUUGCUGACUGAGCUAUUUCUACAGCACCCUCUUUCAAUUGUUCAGUUGGUGAAGAGGUAGGAAUCUAAGAACCUACCAUGUAGAGAGACAUUCUCAGAUGAAAUUUCUUGGAGCAUGCUUGCUUUGAGCAGUGUCUUAGAAGAAGCUGAUGUGUUCCAAGCAGAUUUCUAGGCCCUUACAGCAACCCCAGAACAGGGGAAAAUGUGUCAUGACACCAAGCGCAAGAGUUGCAUGGAGAUGCUUAACUGACCUAGGCUGUGACACACAAAAGCCCAGUGUUCCUGGCUUUCUGAUUUCUCCCUGGAGCUUGCACUUGCUCUGUUGCUUGGAAACAGAAACUGGACUGAGUGAUUGAGUGACUGAUGGCUUCUAGAGGACCAUGAUGGGAGCAGAGCUCCCCACGGACUGCUCUCAGCAUGCCAGCUCGGCAUUCAUACGUGCAAUCCAGCUGCCAUAGAAUCAAUGAGAGAGUUUAUCAGAAGCCAGUAAAGAGUUGUUAGAUAAGCAGUAUUUAGACUGUCAUAGAUACCCAGUAGAGAUGUGGGUACAGUGGAAUGAGAGUGUUGUGUUUUACAUUAAAGUACAAAACCUGGAGCUCUCUAUGGUUGUGGUAGAGCUAGGGGAGUACUAGGGAUCAAUAAGGAUGUGCAUCCAGCUCAGGCCAAAGACUGCAACCCCUCCAUCACCUGCUGGGGUACUGGGCAAGGAGAGCUAGGGACCAGCAGACUUGUUUUGAGUAUGUCAGAGACAGAAAGCUGGAAAGGGUACAUGAGUGAAGAGUAAGGGAAAAGCCCUAGCUUGGAGGGAGCUACAAAAAGGGAAGAAGAAGAAGAAGAAGAAGAAGAAGAAGAAGAAGAAGAAGAAGAAGAAGAAGAAGAAGAAGAAGCAGCAGCUAAAAUCACAAGAAGUCCAGAGCCUUAAAGCCUUCAGCAUCAGCAUCAGAAGCGGCCCAUGCUGGAAUGAGAAUGUAGGACCACCAGUAUCCAUACCUAAAGGUAGUGCAAGGCAUGUGCCCAUGGUCUAUCAUGGAGGCCAGAGGAGGAUGCUGGGUGCCCUGCUCUAACAUGAUCGACCUUAUGCCCUUCAGAUGGGGUCUCUCACUGUACCUGGAGCUAAGUUAGGCUCACAAGCCUCAGCCAACCUCCUGCCUCACCACUGACAAUACUGGAGUUAUAGGCUUCUUACAUGGAAGCUGGGAAUUCGAACUCGGGUCCUCAUGCAUCUACCGCAAGUGCUCUUACGUGUUGAGCUAUUCCCUGGCCUGCAUUUCCUUAUUUCUUUUGCAGGCCCAUUUGGCCUCCCAAAGCUGUUGAGAGAUCAAUCAGGACGACACAGCUCUGCACCGAAGCCCUCAGUAAUGAGCUACUUCAUGCCAGAAAAAUACCAUCUGAGUGUUCAUUGAUUCUGCUUGCCCUGCGCCUGCGUGGGCCCCAGCUUCUCAGCAGAGGAGCUAAUGGCUGCUUAAAGACUUCCACUGAAGCUGAAAGUUGCCAAUUCAGGUGGUUAGGAUCGCCAGGGAACCCCAGGGAUCCUCUUACAGCUUCCUCCCCAGGUCUUGUAUUACAGUAUCACCAGCUGAGCCCAGAUUUUUGAAGAAAUUAACAACACAACAGCAUGGAAACUGAAGUCUGCACUGGAAUAUGAAAAUAUCUGUGAUUAUGUUACCUUGAUACAUCACCGAGGAAAUCAUUAAAUUUCAAUUAGAAGUUU